AGAAGGAACUAGAGCAGCAUCAUGACCUCACCCUCAGUUAAAAUGGCAAAUACAUUUCUAUUCAGAACUAAAAACAGUCACUUUAAAUACCAUUCAAGUGCAAACAUUUAUGGAGCCCUUCUUUGGUGCCAAAGAUCUAAAAAUGAUUAAAAUGUGGCUCCUGUCCUCUUUCAGUUAACAGUCAAAAUAAUUUCAGCAAAUUAUUUUGUGUACCUGGAAUCUGGACUGAUGUCCUUAAUGAAGAAGCUUUUAAGAAAUUAAGUAGGUUUCUGUCUUUAAUACUAUUGUGAAUAAAAAUCAGGAAAAGAAAGACUAUGCAAAUGGCACAUUUUUGUGAAUCUCCAACAUAUCUCUGAUGAUAGAUACUGUAAUAAACUCAGGAGACUCUGUAAGUUUUUUGCAGCAUGGGUUCAUAUUUUAUGGCCUUUAAUUCCCAUUCAGUGUAUAAAGAUCACAAAUAGACACAAAUAGGGUCAAUAUAAUUCUGAAAAAAAAAUUCCUUCAAAAGCAAUAAAGCAGUAAAAGUCAUGAAAUGUAUGGGAUCAAAUAUGCAAAAAGUAAAAUGCAAUUAUUGUGAUGAAGAACAGGCUUGUUUUUCAGGAAGAUAGUACAAUCUUCUGCUUUAUUGUGAAGGAUUUCUAAAGUGGAAAUGAUUUCAACUAGAUAUUUAAAUGAUGAACAGAGAGCAGUAAAUAAGCACUCUGGGUAAAGUAUGACACUUUGGGAUAAUCACUUAUUUUGGAUUCUUCUCCAUCUUCUUUGAGGUAGUUGUAAAGAAAUAAAGUAUUGUAAACUCACAAGGACAGAGAACAAAGAAAAUGGGUGAUAACAUUUUGUGAAAUGGAAAACUCAAAACAGAAAGCAGAGAGCUACAGAGAAGGCCACUAGAGAGAGGCAAGAAGAUUAAUUCUGCCUAACUGCCGUGAGACUCCCCAGUUAGAAGCUUUAGAUAGCACAGAAGUUAGGGGUAAACUAUAGGUCUGAGAUCAGAAUGAUUGAAGGAUAUGGUGAAUGUAUAGUUUAUUGAACAUAUUAGGAUGCUCUUGAGCAUAAAAGAGUGAAUUAUUAGCUAUUAAACCAUAAGUAACAUACAUUAGGGCUGUCCUAGACAGUAACACAUUUAUCCCACAUUGACGUAUUGGUUCAAAUCUUGUCUCAUUUGUUAAAUGGAAUUAUAUUCCUUCUCAAAUUGAUUUGUAGGGGUUUUUAUAGGCAAUGUUUUUGACUGAUGGUGUUUUGCACAACUUCCCCUACUUAAUGACUUACCAUCUAAUUCUUAGAGUACUCUAUAAGGAACAGAAAUUCUUCUUCUUCUGUUUUGUCUUGUUUUUUUUUUUUCCCUUUCUUGACCACCCCAUGGCAUAUGGAGUUCCUGGGCCAGGGACCCGUAUCCUUAACCCACUGUGCUGGGGAUCAAACCUGUGUCUCAGUGCUCCAGAAAUGCUGCCAAUCCUGUUGCGCACAGCAGGAAUUCCAGGAAUAGAAAUUCUUAAUUUCAAUAUUGUUGAAUGUGCUCAUUUUCUCCUUUCAUAUUAACAUUUUUGUGCCUUCUUUAAGAAAUCUUCCUCUAAAUAAGAUAAUGAAGAUAUUUGUUUAUAUUCUUUUCUAAAACUAUAAGCCUAACUUUCGUAUUUAAGUCCUUAAUCCACUUGAAGUUAAUUUUGUGUAUGAUAUGAGAUAGAGGCAAAUUACAUAUACUUUUUUAAUAUUCAUGUCACAACAUCAUUUUUCGGAAAGCUUGUGUUUGCUUAUUAAUUCUCAUAAGUCAAGGGCCUAUAUAUAAGCAAUGGCUUUGUUUCUAGCCUUUUUAAACUUUAUUUUAAUUAAUUUUAUUUUUUCCUAGGUCUUUCAUCUACAUGCAACAAUAACAUGAUGAAUUUAUUUAUUUAAUUUUUUUUAUUAAGGUAUGGUUGUUUUACAAUGUUGUGCCAAUUUCUACAGAGUAGCAAAGUGACUCAGUUAUACAUAUAUAGAUUUUCUAUCCUAGAAUCCUGGAUAUUAUUCCCUGUGCUAUAAGGUAGGAUCUUGUUGUUUAUUCAUUCUAAAUGUAAUAGUUUGCAUCUCCUAAACAAACUCCCAAUGCAUCUCUCUCUUCCCCCUUCUUCUUGGCAACCACAAGGCUAUUCUCUAUGUUUGUGAAUCUAUUUCUGUUUCAUCAAUACGUUCAUUUGUGUGAUAUUUUAGAUUCCACAUACAAAUGAUAUCCUAUGAUGCCUGUGUUUCUCUUUCUGACUUACUUUGCUUAGUAUGAUAAUCUCUAGUUGCAUCCAUGUUGCUGUGAAUGGCAUUAUUUCAUUCUUUUUUAAUGGCUGAGUAAUAUUCCAUUUAUAUACAUACUACAACUUCUUAAUCCAUUUGAUGAAUUUAUUUUUUGAAUAGUUUUUUAAAAAUUACUUACUAAAGCAGGUUUUCUCACUUGAUUCUUCUUCAAGAGGGUCAUGGAUCCAAUUGACUCUGCAUUUUAUUAUACUUUUUAUAUUUCCACAAACAUUUCUUGAAUUUUGAUAAGAAUUGAAUCUAUAAGUCAAACUAAGAGAAGUGCCAUUUUUGCAACAAUGUGUUUUCCAAUGAUCAAUUGAUGAAUUUUCUAUUUAUUUAGAUUUUCUUUAUUUUCUCUUAAAGUUUUAUAAUUUUUGCCAUACAGAUCUUGCCUAUUUUCUUAGGAUAUUUUUAACACUAUUUCAAAUGUUAUUUUCAUUUUCUAAGUGUUUGUUCCUGGUGGAUAUUUGUAUAUUUGAUUUUGAUUAUUUAGUUUUGAAUCCAGCAAUCUUGAUAAAUUUUUAUGAAGGCUAAUCAUAUAUCUGCAGAUUCUUCUGGAUUUUCUUUUACACAAUCAUGUAACCAGGAAAUAAUGAAAGUUUUAUUUCAUUUCAAAUUCUUAUGUUUUUCAUUGCUUUUUUGAUUUACUGCUUCCUCUGUGUAGCAUCUCCAGCACAGUACUGCACAGGAGAGAGUGGGCAUUUUUGUCUUGGCCCCUAUCUUAAAAAGGGCAGCUUUUAGUGUUUCAACAUCAAUUCUGAGGGUUGCUCUGAAUUAUAGUGCAGAUAUCCUUUAUCAAAUAAGUGAAUUUUUCUUUCUUUUCUCUCUAGUGUCUAAGCAUGAUGAACAUCUACUGAAACAACUCUAUGAUUAUAUUUUCUCCUUCAACAUCUUUUUGUGUCAAAAUACAUUCAAUUAUUUUCUAAUAUGAUCUAAUGUUUUUAAUAUUAAAGUUCUGUUUCUCUGGGAUAAACACAAUUUUUUCUUGAUAGCUUGUCCUUCCUACAUAGUACUGAGAUCUUGGCUUAGGAGUUUUAUCAGCCAUAAAAAAAGAUGAAAUACUGCCAUUUUCAGCAAUACGGAUGGACCUAGAGAAUAUUAUACUUAGUGAAGUAAGUCAAAGACAAUAUUAUAUGAUAUCACUUAUAUCUAAAAAAUAAUGCAAAUGAAUAUAUAUGCAAAACAGAAACAGACUCACAGAUUUAGAAAACAAAAUUAUGGUUACCAAAGGGGAAAGAGAGGGGAAGGAGGGGGCAAAUUAGGAGUAUAGGAUUAACAGAUACAAACUACUAUACAUAAAGUAAGGAAUAAGAAUUUACUGUAUAGCACAGGGAACUAUAUUCAGUAUCAUAUAAUAACAUAGUGGAAAAUAAUACAUACACACACACACACAACUAAAUCACUUUGCUGUACACCUGAAACUAACACAACAUUGUAAGUCAAAUCAGCUAUACUUCCUUAAAGAAGGUGAAUUUGUCCUCUAAUUUUCCUUUUUUAAAUUGUGUUUUUUAAUAUCAAGGUUAUCUUAGCCUCAUAAAAUGAAUUGAAAUGUGUUAUAUUUUUUUCUUCUCUGGAAGUGUUUAAGUAGGGUCAAAAUUAUUUCUUCUCUGAAUGUCUAUUUUAACUUUGCAGUAAAGCCAUAUCUAGUCUUGGCAUUUUCUUUGUGGGAAGACACUAAACCACUAAGUCUUUUUCUUUUAUGUUAGUGGGAGUUUUUAUAUUUACUAUUUCUCAUUUUUUUCUAGAAGUUUGAAAAAUACAAACACUUUUACUAAUAGCCUCUUCAUAUUUAUUUAAUAUUUACCCCAUCCUGACAUUGGCUAUUGGUAAUUUUCUUUUUCCUUGACUUAUUUAAGAUUUACCAAUGUUAUUAGUCUUUUCACAGGACCAGCUUCUGGCUUUGUUGUGUCUCUACAUUCUGUGGUUUGUUUGUUUUUUUUUUUUCACAUAUUUCAUUAAUUUAUGCUGUUUUUGUUUCUCUUUCCUGCUUUGCAGUUUCUGUUGGUAUUUGGGGCUUAUUCUACUCUCAUUCUACUAACAUCUGAAGUGAAUUCUUAGUUAUAUAAUUUCAAUCUUUCUGAUUUUUAAAAAUAUAUGCAUUUAAGGCUAUGAAUUUUUCUCCAAGUAUUAACUUUAAUCUCCUUUAACAAUUUUCUUAUACUGUAUUAUAUUUGUCUUGUUAUUCAGUUUAUGGUACUCUAUCUUCUAAUUUCCAUUAUAACUUUUUCUGCUGUGUAAUGGGUUAUUUAAAAGUAUAUUUUUAAAUUUCCAAUUUAAUUUUAAUGCCUUGAAAAUUUAUUUAGCUUAAUUCUAUUGUGGUAAGAGAAUGUGUUUCUGUCUCUGGUUAACUUCUGUGUCUUUUUCUCAGUCAUCUCUCCUUCCUCCUGUUCUUUUGAUUCAUCAUGUGUCAUUCUUCUUUUGUACCUGCCAGUUCAUAAGUCUCUUUUCUUUUUUUGUUUGAACUGUUGCUAAAUAUCUCCAUUACCAUCGUUAUUUUAUUUAUUGUAUAUUUUUCUAGAACAUCUGCUUGAUAAUUCUUUAAAUCUGCAAUGUCACUUAUAAUUUUUUGUUCCCUGCACUUAUUUUCAGGUCAACUAUGUUCACCAUAUUUAAUGAUAUAAACACUUUUCUUUAUAUCAUUAAAUGUGAUAAAUGUAGUUUUUAACAUAUAUGCUUAUAACUUUAAUGUAUAACAUCACAUGGAUGUGAUUUUUGCCUGUCUUAUUUUCAGCUGGUGUAUAUGUAUAAGAAAGCAAGGUAUAUUAGCAAGUGAUGGAAUAAUGGUUUUAUAUCAGUGUUAUACUUAAUUAGGUGGACUAGGAGAAAUGGACUAUGCUCUAGUAAAUAUUCUUGAGUCUUCAGUCAAUUAACACCACAAAAUGUAUUUCUCAUUCAUUCUUGUAAACUUCUAUUGAUUUAAGAGAAUUCCCAGGCCAGCUACCCCCCAGCUAAUCAGAGAACCCACGAGUAUAUGUUUUUUUGUGUGUUUAUUUUUGUUUUUUACAUGGCAAAUGGAAGUCUUCAGAUUUGAUUAGUUAAGGAUCUUGAUAGAGAAAGAUUUUACUGUAUUAUUUGGAUGUGCCAAGUGUAAGUGAAAGAUAGUGCAGGAGAAUCAGAUUAAAAAGAGACUGAAGAUGCUAUGCUGAUGGUUUUGAAGAUGGAAAGAGUUACCAGCCAAGGUAUCUAGGUACCUUCUGGAAACUGUAACAGGCAAGGAAAUGAAUUGUCCCGUAGAAAUUUCAGAAGGAAUAUAGCCCUGCUAAAACCUGGAUUUUACCUUGGGAAAUCAUUUUGGACUUCUCAGCUUGAAAAUUAUAAAUCUGUGUGGUUCUAUGCAAUUAAAUUUAUAGUAAUUUGUUGAAGUAGCAAGAGAAAACCAAAUACAGUAUUAGUGUAUUG
rnacentral:lncRNA from 1 species